CUCAGAACGAACGUUAGUGAGAUGUUUUAAGCAUGCAAGUCGAGCGGCAGCACUACGGGUGGCGAGCGGCAAACGGGUGAGUAAUAGUUAGUUCACCUACCUCUCAGACUGGGAUAGCCGGUGUAAUGGCGAUUAAUACCGGAUACGAGGAAACUUGAAAGGUGCGUUAGCAUCGCUGAGAAAUGGGACUAACUCCUAUUAGCUUGUUGGUGAGGUAAUGGCUCACCAAGGCCAUGAUAGGUAGCCGGCCUGAGAGGGUGACCGGCCACAUUGGGACUGAGAUACGGCCCAGACUCCUACGGGAGGCAGCAGCUGAGAAUAUUCCGCAAUGGAGGCAACUCUGACGGAGCAAUCUCACAUGGAUGACGAAGGCCUUCGGGUUGUAAAGUCCUUUCAGCAAAGAAGAAUAAGUCUAUCAGGAAAUGGAUAGAUGAUGACGUUAUUUGCAGAAGCAGCCCCGGCUAACUACGUGCCAGCAGCCGCGGUAAUACGUAGGGGGCGAACGUUGUUCGGAUUUACUGGGCGUAAAGCGUAUGUAGGCUGUUAUGAAAGUUAGCGGUGAAAGCCCAGAGCUCAACUCUGGAACCGCCGCUAAAACUUCAUAACUAGAGUUGUUUAUAGAGGUAGUCGGAAUUCCUGGUGUAGGAGUGAAAUCUGUAGAUAUCAGGAGGAACACCAAAGGCGAAGGCAAGCUACUGGGUAAUGACUGACGCUGAGAUACGAAAGCCAGGGGAGCAAAUGGGAUUAGAGACCCCAGUAGUCCUGGCCGUAAACGAUGUACACUAGUUAUAUGAGAUAGGAGUACGCUCCUUUUUAUGUAACGUAGCUAACGCGUUAAGUGUACCGCCUGGGUAGUAUGCACGCAAGUGUGAAACUCAAAGAAAUUGACGGGGGCUCGCACAAGUGGUGGAGCAUGUGGUUUAAUUCGAUGAUACGCGAAAAACCUUACCUGGGUUUAAACGUUUUGUGCUCAGCUAUGAAAGUAGCUUUUCCUUCGGGACGCAAAGCGAGGUGUUGCAUGGCUGUCGUCAGCUCGUGUUGUGAGAUGUUGGGUUAAGUCCCGCAACGAGCGCAACCCAUUUCCUAUGUUGCUAAUAGUUUGUUCGCAAGCUAAGGACUCUUAGGAUACUGCCCGGGCAACCGGGAGGAAGGCGUGGAUGACGUUAAGUCCUCAUGACCCUUAUGUCCAGGGCUACACACGUGCUACAAUGGGUUCUACAAAGAGAUGCCAAACUGUAAAGUCUAGCCGAACUCAAAAAAGAACUCUCAGUUCGGAUUGAAGUCUGUAACUCGACUUCAUGAAGCUGGAAUCACUAGUAAUCGCGGAUCAGCAUGCCGCGGUGAAUACGUUCUCGAGCCUUGUACACACCGCCCGUCAAACCAUCCGAGUUAAGUUUACCCGAAGUUGUUGUCCGAACCUGCAAGGGACGGAGACAC
rnacentral:rRNA from 1 species